rnacentral:rRNA from 1 species
CCCUUAGAUGUCCUGGGCCGCACGCGCGCUACACUGACCAGUGCAACAAGCAUCCGUCCUUGGCCGACAGGCUCGGGCAAUCUUUGAACGCUGGUCGUGAUGGGGAUAGACUUUUGCAAUUUUUGGUCUUCAACGAGGAAUUCCUAGUAAACGCAAGUCAUCAACUUGCAUUGAUUACGUCCCUGCCCUUUGUACACACCGCCCGUCGCACCUACCGAUUGAAUGGUCCGGUGAAGCCUCCGGAUUGGCGCGCACCUCGGUGCCGCCGAGAAGUUGGCUAAACCUUACCAUUUAGAGGAAGGUGAANUCGUANCA